GUGUCGAUAAGAAAGUAAUUGUAAAAUAUUAAUUAUUUUAUAAAAUAUUUCUUGAUUAAUUUUUUUGAGGAUAAGCUCGGAAAAAAGUUAAGAUAUUUUGUUGAUUUAGGUUGUUAUGUGGGCUUAAAAUUGGCCAUCAUAAGAGUUUGUUAUAAAACAACAAUCCUAAUAUUUAAAAUAAAUAUAUUUUAUUCUAAUUUUUUUACAGAAAUAAGAACUAUAAUUAACAAACGUUUUAUGCCUAUGCUAGGAUGAGUAUUAAAAUUUUACAUAUGUUAAGAAAGUUUUAUAUAUUUUUCUUCUAGGAAGACAUUGAUCAAAUCAAAUUAGUUAGAAGGAACUCGGCAAAUUUAAUGCUUUCGCCUGUUUAUCAAAAACAUGGCUCUUUGCAUUUAUUUUAUAAAGAGUCAGGCCUGCCCAGUGAAUAAUAUUUAACGGCCGCGGUACUCUGACCGUGCAAAGGUAGCAUAAUCAUUUGCCUUAUAAUUGAAGGCUAGCAUGAAUGGUUUAACGAAAGCAAUACUGUCUCCUUUCUACUUUCAAGAAUUUAACCUUUAGGUGAAGAGGCCCAAAUUUAAUUGAAGGACAAGAAGACCCUGUCGAGCUUAAAAGAUACUAUAGAAGUUUAUAUAUUUUUAGAUAAAUUCCCUAUUAAAGCUUUUUAGUUGGGGCGACUAAGGAACAAAAAAAGCUUCUUAUAAUAAACAAACAACCGGGUUUUGAUCCGAUGAUAAUCGAUUAAGGGAAUUAGUUACCGCAGGGAUAACAGCAUAAUCUCUCUUGAGAGACCUAAUCGAAAGAGGGGGUUGUGACCUCGAUGUUGGACUAGAAUAUCCUAAAGAUGCAGAA
rnacentral:rRNA from 1 species